UGAGAUGCUGCUGAAUUUCAGCCGUUCUUCUUCAAGUUCAAACUGUGCUAGCUUUAGCUUUGCAUCCUCUAGCUUCUUUCCCCUAUGGAAAGCCUUCUNAGCUAGAAUUCCUCACUGCAUCAUCUCCAAACACGUUCACACCUUUUAUCAAACACCUUGCUCGCACUCCAUCCGCUACAUUCAAUCUCCAUUCCGCUGCCAACUCUGGUCCGAGGAGCCACUCCUUCUUGAAGAUUGGAGUCGCUUCUAUCAAUUGGUAUCAAGAGUAAGCCGAUCUCACCCACGCUGCACGAGCUAAGUGCUCUUUUAUCAUUGCUCUGUUCUUUUUCACUUUCUGUCAUGUACUGUUCUAUUCUGUCAUUGCUUGAAUUUUUUUUUUCAUCACUGUUUUGGUUCUAUUGUGUGUUCAGCGAAUAAUUCAGAUCAUUCACAUGUUCUUUAGUGUUUUUCAAUCAUUUUAAUCGGUGCGUUUCUUUACUUGAGUUCAAAUCCAGCUUUAUUAAUCAAUUCAAGUUGUCUCAUAGUCAUGUGCAGGUGUUUUGCAAUUUUUUUCUUCUCUGUUACGUGUUUUGAUUCUAUUCAGCGUGUGUUUUUCCUUUUUGUUGUAUGUUCACUGCAUUGACUAGCUCAAUUUGAUCAUACAAAGCCAUGAGGCAUUGCCUAGCUUUGAUCAAAACAGUUUCGAGCAUUGACCGAGAAUAUCUCUGUAUCAUAUUGUGAUUUCGGGUUGGCAGUGAUUAUUCUGCGUUGUUAGAUGUUUUCUGAGUCUGAAGCUUCAAUCAAGUUUUCUUAAUAAUCUUAGAUGUUUCUACGGUGAUUCCAACUCAAAUACGUCACAUAAGUGCAAUUUGAGUUGUUUAGUUCAUCAAAAUAAGUUUUCAAACUUCUGUAGCAAAGGUUGUUUUCGGUUUCAUAAGUACACACUGUUUCUAUCCAGAUUUCUUGAUUUUAGUGCUUGAGACAAGUUUAUUCGACCAGUUUAUACAUGUUUCAAGUGUUAGAAAUCUGAAUUCAGCAAUGAAUCUCAAAAAGAGUGCUUGAGUUGCUGAAAAUUUUGUUUUUCAUGAAACUGUCACGGUCCUGUUUUUAUUCCAAGCUUUUUCACCGUGCUGUUUGUUCCUUGCUUGAGUUUAGGUCAAUUUAAUUUCCUAGCUUAAAUUCUGAAGCUAGAUCUAGUGUUAGGCCUAUUCUUACACAUUGUUUGAUCUAACUACACUUGCCUCUAAUGAUUUUUCCAAUUCUGCAUCAGCUUUUUAAUGCAUUUUCUGCAUUUUCAGCAACUAGCAUAGUCAUUUUGUGAUUCUAUCCAUAUCAGUGAUAUUUCAAUGUCUGUGCAAGUGUAUUUGAACAUUUAAAACUUGUUUCCAUUGUUCUUUUGGUCCAUUCUCAUCAAAUCUGCAAAAUCACAGUUUGACUUUCCAUGUUUGCUUGACAAUUGGAACUUAACAAGUCAAAUUGUGAUUCAGUGAAUUUUGGUCCACUUUGAUUUUUUCCACACACAUAUUUGGUGCAUCAAAGUUGGUCUUUACUAUUCAUUUGGUCAAUUUUGAUCCAUUUCACCAAAUCACCACCAAAAGCCCGUAAUCUACUUGAGAGUAGGAAGUAGACCUAUCAUAUUCUGCUGCAGUACAUUUCUUUGCUGAUUAUGUGUUUGUACACAUCCAUUAUGAUGAUAUAAAGUUGCUUGAGGUGUCAUUUAAUCCUUUUAACCACUACCACUAAAUUCACCCACUGCAGUUCCAAUUUUUCUUGCCAUUUUUUUUCAUUGUUUGGUGCAGUUUUAGUGCUUUAAUUCUGCAUAAUUCACAAUUGACACUUUGAAUUUGAGUUGUUGAGCGUUUCAGGGCUGUUUCAGUGUUUGUACAAGUCUAUUUGCUGAUUUGAACACUAUUUUCACUGCUCAUAUGGUCCAGUAGUGCUUCUACCCGAGAAACAUAAGCCAAAACACCAAUUUUUAACCAAUUUUGGGUAGUGCACCAGUGAAAUAUUGAUCUGGACCGUGUCUUGCCUGUUUCAUUAAUUCCACACCUUGCAAAUGAUGAUUUAAACUUGAUGGAAUUAUCAAUUGAGCAUUAACCACAAUAGCACUCAGUUUGAACACGACAGUUCCCAUUUUUCAGCUUAUUUUAAUUACUGCAGUAGCAUCACUUUGCUGGUUUCACCAUUUCAGUUUCAAUUGUUAUUGGAUUGGCAAAAGCUGGGGAAUCUUGUUCCAAACACAUUAAAAUCAAUAUCCAGGUGUAAACCAAUCAAGAAAAAAGCAUUUAAUCCCCUGCAAUCCAGUUUACAAGUCAAAAACCAGAAAAACAUAAUUUCUACAGCUCAUUGUGACAUUUCAUCAAACAGUUUUAAAUUUUCAUUAAACACUUGCAUUGCACAGAUUUCCAUCAAUGUUUUGAGUUUUUUCUUGCAUUUAUAAUCUGUUCUAGAACCUAUCCUAGGUUCCUUUUGAGUGCCAUCUUUUUUUUCCAGCCUAAGGUUCAUUAGAAAUCACUUUUCUUGGCAUUUCCAAUAUGUUGUCCCAUUAAUUUGCAUUAAAAAUCUGCUGCAGUAAGAGUUUUUUAUGCUCACGGUUUGUGGUUUUGUGUGACUUGUGGUGAGGUGGUGCUGCAAUUUCUAACUCCCAGAUGGUUUCUCCAAAGGGGUAGCAUACUAAGGAGUGGAAGCAUUGUUAAAGUAAGCACAAGUUGGGACUUUGAGAGUACCUAAAACACAACUGUCCAGCAACCUGUUUCAGCAGCAAAAAUAUAUCAAAAUUUGGUAUUCCAGCAUCUUAAAACAGCAGCCACACUUGGCUUUCUCAUUUGCACACACUUUUCAUUGUAUUUGUGACUUGGUAUCACGGAACUUUGUGUUAAUUUGUUUCCUUUCCAUUUGCAAAUUAAAGUGGCUUGGAAAAAUGCUUUUCUAGCAAUUCCAAGUACACAAUCAAACAUUGUAAUAGCUUAGUUUCCACAUCUUAGUGUGAAAGUGUGUCAAGGGGCUCAAAGUGUCACGUGCACUUUCACUUAGGGCCGUGUUUCUUCUUCCAUUCAUUUGGCA
rnacentral:lncRNA from 1 species